UUCCACAACUGAUCUGCUUUCAAAAGGCAACAGAUCCUUUCUGAUCUUGGAAGCUAAGCAGGAUCAGACCUGAUUAGUAAUUGGGUAGGAAGCCACCUAUGAAUCCCAGAUGCUGUGUGCU
rnacentral:rRNA from 11 species